rnacentral:lncRNA from 1 species
UCUCCCAAGCAGAGAAACCCGAACCCACCAACCAGGGGCAGGAUAGCCUGAAGAAACAUCUACACGCAGAAAUCAAAGUUAUUGGGUUUAUCAUCUCUGGCUCUCUAUCAAUCGCCACAGAGAAAAGGUUAACCAAGCUUUUGGUGCAUAGCAGCCUGGUUGGAAGCAUUCUGAGUGCUCUGUCUGCCCUGGUGGGUUUCAUUAUCCUGUCUGUCAAACAGGCCACCUUAAAUCCUGCCUCACUGCAGUGGAACUCUCUCUCUGAUGCUGAUUUGCACUCUGCUGGAAUUCUGCCUAGCUGUGCUCACUGCUGUGCUGCGGUGGAAACAGGCUUACUCUGACUUCCCUGGGAGUGUACUUUUCCUGCCUCACAGUUACAUUGGUAAUUCUGGCAUGUCCUCAAAAAUGACUCAUGACUGUGGAUAUGAAGAACUAUUGACUUCUUAAGAAAAAAGGGAGAAAUAUUAAUCAGAAAGUUGAUUCUUAUGAUAAUAUGGAAAAGUUAACCAUUAUAGAAAAGCAAAGCUUGAGUUUCCUAAAUGUAAGCUUUUAAAGUAAUGAACAUUAAAAAAAACCAUUAUUUCAC